GAGAAAGCCAUAACUGUUAUGGGACUGGCUUGAAACCAGUAAUAGGGGAUUCGAUCCCUUUCUUUUUUA
rfam:Macaca mulatta chromosome X, whole genome shotgun sequence.